CCUACGGGAGGCUGCAGUGGGGAAUAUUGGACAAUGGGGCCAACCCUGAUCCAGCCAUGCCGCGUGUGUGAAGAAGGCCCUCGGGUUGUAAAGCACUUUCAGUGAGGAAGAACGCCUGGUGGUUAAUACCCAUCAGGAAAGACAUCACUCACAGAAGAAGCACCGGCUAACUCCGUGCCAGCAGCCGCGGUAAUACGGAGGGUGCGAGCGUUAAUCGGAAUUACUGGGCGUAAAGCGCGCGUAGGUGGCUUGAUAAGCCGGUUGUGAAAGCCCCGGGCUCAACCUGGGAACGGCAUCCGGAACUGUCAAGCUAGAGUGCAGGAGAGGAAGGUAGAAUUCCCGGUGUAGCGGUGAAAUGCGUAGAGAUCGGGAGGAAUACCAGUGGCGAAGGCGGCCUUCUGGACUGACACUGACACUGAGGUGCGAAAGCGUGGGUAGCAAACAGGAUUAGAUACCCUUGUAGUC
rnacentral:rRNA from 1 species